AUCGUCUGCACAAUCAGAUAAACCGAGCCGCACAGACGGAUUUCGGAGACGUAUGACGGUUGCACAUCGUACAGCAGCACUACAGCUAGCUAUUCUCGAUGCUGACUGCACGGUGGGCCUGCACUCCUUAUAAACGCCGCCAAGCCCAUUGCCGACUUCGCAGUCUGGAUUUUUUGCUGUCUACUUUAUCCGCCUCGUAGAUUUUGCUUGUUUAGUGACCUUCCAGAUUGCCAGUCCUUUCGUCCACGUGUGUUAAGCUUUUUGAUAAUCACCACUACCAGUGACCUCUUGCCAACAUGAUCUCCAUUCAAUCGAUCUUACUCCUUGUCCUGGCGGUUAUCGUUAUGGCUGUAACCACGGCGGACGCUUGGUAUGGACGUGGAUUCGGCGGCUGGUACGGCGGACGCUGGGGAGGCCCGUUCGGUGGAUGGGGCUACGGCGGCUACGGUCCCUUCGGAUACGGACCCUUCGGUGGUUGGGGCGGUCCUGGGCCGUGGUGGAAGUGAAGGUCACGAUGAUGGCUGCGCUAGUGCGCUGUUGGUAGUGUAAUUUUUUGCCAGUUGUUGCGUAGUCGGAUUUUUUGUUGUUUGCAACCCGAAACGUGAUGGCCUGAGUGCCUUGGAUAUGUAAAUAAUUUUUUACCGUUUUUAUUUUUUUAUCGGUUGAACUCUGCAUGUGACUACGAAUCGCGCUUCAUCAGGAAAUGCUGCUACUUUUUUUGGUCAAUUUUGUGUGCGCAAAAAGUAUGAUCUCGAUCGCGAUAACUGAUUCAUUAAAAUUCAGCGCGUGA